CUUACAGCUCCCAGGCAAGCUGCAGUCUGCUUAUGUCUCCACAACUGACUGUGCUACUGUUGAAGGGACUGAACUGUGAGACUCAGCUUUUUUCACUAGCAAUAUGGAAACAAAAACAGCUGCAUUUGGCAGGGGAGGGCCAUGAUUCAAAAGAGACUUGCAGUUAGACUGAAAUGGCAUUCUGGCUUACUGUGAGGGCUAAUGCUUUCAAUGGCUUCACGAGCAUCUCUCUGCUACUGAAUAAAUGCUGCUGGAACAGUUCCCUCAGCGAUUGGAGACACGCGAUUAAACCUAAAGGACCGGAGGAGACGGAUUGGGGUGCUUUCAUCUGCACUGGCACUGCUUGCCCUGACAAUAAGCAUUUGCAAAUGAAA